AACGGUCUAUACCUGCGGUACCUGCGGAAGGAUCAUUAACAAUUCCAAAAACACGUCUUCUGGGCCUUGACACACUGCUGUCGGCAUCUCUCCUCUCUCUCUCUCUCUCUUGUAAAAGAGAAGAAGAUGGGGAUGGGGAUGUUGAUUGGGGUGGGAAGAGGUCUGGUCUGACAAACUACAACAAACAUUUUGAUAUGACACUUUACUGGGAUAUCCAUCAUUUAAUUAGUAAAUGUUUAA
rnacentral:misc_RNA from 1 species